GUUGAAACACCAGUUCCCAUAUGAUCACCAAAGUUAAGCAACAUCAAGCCUGGUCAGUACCUUGGUGGCUGACUGCAUGGCAAUACUAGGUGCUGUAA